AUUUCCUCAUCGUGAAGCUUUGUUCCUCGUGGGGGCUAGAAAUCUCUUUCUAGCUCCAGAUUGUGAAGGCUUCCUGAGUAAGCAGCGUGUCUCCAUCCCCCUCUCUAGGGGCUCUUGGGUGGAUCUUGCACUCUAGAAGGAACAAUGGACCUCUGGCUUUGGUCACUUUACUUCCUGCCAGUAUCAGGGGCCCUGAGGAUCCUCCCAGAAGUAAAGGUAGAGGGAGAGCUGGGCGGAUCAGUUACCAUCAAGUGCCCACUUCCUGAAAUGCAUGUGAGGAUGUAUCUGUGCCGGGAGAUGGUUGAAUCUGGAACAUGUGGUACUGUGGUAUCUACCACCAACUUCAUCAAGGUGGAAUACAAGGGCCGAGUCACUCUGAAGCAAUACCCACGCAAGAAUCUGUUCCUAGUGGAGGUAACACAGCUGACCGAAAGUGACAGCGGAGUCUAUGCCUGUGGAGCGGGCAGGAACACAGACAGGGGGAAGACCCAGAAAGUCACCCUGAAUGUCCACAGUGAAUACGAGCCAUCAUGGGAAGAGCAGCCAAUGCCUGAGACUCCAAAAUGGUUUCAUCUGCCCUAUUUGUUCCAGAUGCCUCCAUAUGCCAGUUCUUCCAAAGUCGUAACCAGAGUUACCACACCAGCUCAAAGGACCAAGGUUCCUCCAGUCCACCACUCCUCCCCCACCACCCAAAUCACCCACCACCCUCGAGUGUCCAGAGCAUCUUCAGUAGUAGGUGACGAGCCCCCAACCUUCCUGCCAUCCACUACAGCCUCAAAGAUCUCAGCUCUGGAGAAGCUGCUCAAGCCUCGGACAGCCAGCUACAACCACCACACCAGGCUGCACAGGCAGAGAACAUUGGACUAUGGCUCACGGUCUGGGAGGGAAGGCCAAGGAUUUCACAUUCUGAUCUCGACCAUCCUGGGCCUUUUCCUGCUGGCACUUCUGGGGCUGGUGGUGAAAAGCGCUGUUGAAAGGAGGAAAGCCCUCUCCAGGCGGGCCCGCCGACUGGCCGUGAUGAUGCGCGUACUGGAGAGCUCCCAGAGGACUCGCGGGUCGCCGCGACCGCGCUCCCAAAACAAUAUCUACAGCGCCUGCCCGCGGCGCGCUCGUGGGGCGGACGCUGCAGGCAAGGGAGAGGCCCCCGUUCCAGGCCCCGGAGCGCCGUUGCCCCCCGCCCCGCUGCAGGUGAGGAGCACGGGCAAUGCCUGUAACCCCUUGGUCGCACAUCUUCCCAGUCUAUGCUGCUGUAAAUACCCAUCGUACAACAGCAAGCUCGUGUUGUCCCCAAGCGCUUGCACAUUCUAACAGCUGCAGAGUUAUAUGACCAGGUGGAAAGUUAAACAGAUGCUCCACUCACAAGGUGUCUGAAUCUCCCUGGUUCCAUGCCCCAUCUCUGAAGAGCAGCUGUGAAUAUGUGAGUCUCUACCACCAGCCUGCCGCCAAGAUGGAGGACAGUAAUUCAGAUGACUACAUCAAUGUUCCUGCCUGACAACUCCCCAGCUGUCCCCCGACCCCAGGCUCAGACUGUGGUGCCAAGGAGUCUCAUCUGUCUGCUGAUAUCCAAUACCUGCUUCAUGUGUUCUUAGAGCCCUCAUCACUUCCCAUGCCCCAUCUUGACUCCCAUCCCCGUCUAUCUGUGCCCUGAGCAUGGCUCUGCCCUCAGGUCCUCUUGCACACCUUGGCAGCCUCCUGUAGUUGACAGGUAAGCUGUAGGCAUGCAGAGCAAUUGUCCCAAUGCCACUUGCUUCUUUUCCAAUCUAACAGGCUGUGGGAUUUGCAGAGCAUUUCUUCCAUGUCUUUGACCACAGGGUUGUUGCUGCCCAGACUCUAGACCACAUGGCAUCAGGCUGGGGCAGAGGCAUAGCUAUUGUCUUGGGCAUCCUUCCCAUGCUUGGGUCUUACACAAGUAGAAGGCUGUUGCUCUGAAUUAUGUGGACAUGCCUCAGCCCCAAGGACUAGGCAGGGGUCUAGUAUAAAAACACUCCCGGAAACGCCUUUGCCCUGAUCCAAAAGUUAGCACUUCUAGUGAACCUCUACUUAUCUCAAGUUCUAUGCUAAAGGCAAUUUAUCUUGAUGUGAUGAGGUAUUCUAAAUUUCAGAACCAAGCUUGUUAGCGAGAUAUGCAUAUAUAUCCAUAAACUCUCUUUACUUUGUCUCCAUCACUUGAUGCACGUAAGUGCCCUGACCUCAGCAUCUCUCCUCAAAAAAAAAAGUAUUUGUCAUCUCUUUAUCUUUCUUCCAUAGCCUGACACUGAUGUUUGUGCACUUACCUUAACUUUUAUCUAUUUUAGUCAUCCAAAACUAUUACAUUUCUUGGCUUUCACAAAUGUUGCCCAUUUCUUAGGCAGUUCCAGACAAUGUGGGGAAGGAAAGCAAUAAGAAAUUCCUGGGUAGCACUUAUGUCAUGGAAGAAGAGAUAUCCCACCUCCUACAUAUACUAUUUGUCUAAGUUUUUGGAACAAGGUCAUAGUCAGACAUUAUAUCUUUAGAUUGAUGUCGACCACAAAGUUCAGCCAGAGCUUGAGGCUAGAUGCCGAGCUUUGCUGCUGGGAAGAAGGCCUCUUCUGGCUAUACUGCACAGUCUCACUGGGCAUUCAUCCAGAAAUAGAGAAGAAAGGCUGCCAGACUUGAGUUGUGUUGUCUUUUAUUAGCAGGGAAUGUCAUCACAGAUUGGAUGGUACAUCCAAGUGCAAUGUCACCAUCAGCAAGGUCAGCUUGACACUCAAGUGGCACAUUAGGGAAGAAUGACUAGGACAAAAAAAAAAAAGGAGGGCACCAAGGGAAAGGGAUGAUGGGGUGGGUUGGUGAGUGUGGGUGGGAAAUGAAAUGUUUAGUGAGGAUCUGCUUUGUACUGGGCACUUUAAUCCACAUUUUAUCAUUUGCUUUUCAAACCGAUGCACCUUACCCCCACCCCAAUGCUCUGUCCCUGCAGAUAUCAGAAGACAGUGUGAUUUUCACACUCUAAAGUUCAGUUUUACAUGCCAUCAUCCCUCUCUGUUUUUUAACAAUCCAAAGACAGACCAAAAAAACCACCACAGUUUAUUAAGUACUUACUGAGCACCCAUCCACUGCCCCACAUUGUGGCAAGGAUUGUGAGGGGUAAAGAAGCAUGGGGCACAAUAUUCUGCUGCCUUCAUGUAACUUACAGUCUCACAAAUAAAUAGAACUUCAGUUGAAAUACUGACAUUAAUUAAAUAGAGUUGUAAUAAAUACAGGAAUCUUCUUUGUAGACUCUUCACAGCAUCCAGAGGCACCUUCCCUGACUGUCACUGGGGCUGCUUAAAGAAUGACUUCUUUGACAAUAAUCCUGGGCCAAAAAUGGGACCCAUGGCCAAGGGUAUGAAGUGUCCAGUGAACAGCAUAGGAAGGGAGACUGUUUGAAAUGACACAGGGAAUGAACCAGUGGGGGAAAGGGGGUCCUGAUCUAGACAUUCAGAGCUUGUAGAAUUGCUGCAUCCAGGUCAGAAGAAUGUCCACUUCCCCAAGGGCUUUGGUAAGAGCUGCUUCUAUGUCCAACUAAAGGGAAAAGAGGGUUGAAGGUCAACCAUGUUAGCUAUGAGAAUAGUCUUUCUUCUAACCCGCCAUGGCUAAAAUAGACCUGACUCCAAUCCAUGGGAUGGGUCACCUUUGGGAUGGCCUCUGAUGAGCUCACCUGCUUGUCACUUUUCCUCCAUCUACAUGUGUUUGUCUGCUUCAGGGGUGAGGACAAACAGGCUAGUGAGUAUCAGUGGGCAAGGAACAAGGAAAAGGCACAUGGCACGCCUAACAACAGGAACCACAAACUCCAGUAUAAGGUGGAUGUGUCCCACCACCUGAAUUCACUGCACAGGUGAAAUGAGCCCAGGUGGCCAGUCUCCAUCAGAUGUUAUUGCUCUUCACCAUUUAUUUAUAGGCUGAUGCAUCUCUUCCUCAAAUAAAAAGUGAUCAAAAUCA